AUUUGUCUGGUUAAUUCCGAUAACGAACGAGACCUUAACCUGCUAACUAGUUCUCAAUACUCUGUAUUCUGCAACUUCUUAGAGGGACUAUGCAAAUCAAUUACAUGGAAGUUUGAGGCAAUAACAGGUCAGUGAUGCCCUUAUAUGUCCUGGGCUGCACGCGUGCUACACUGAUGCAUACAACAAGCGCCUAGCCAGACAUGGUAUGGCAAUCUCGAAUAUGCAUCGUGAUGGGGAUAGAUCUUUGCAAUUAUAGAUCUUGAACGAGGAAUUCCUAGUAAGUGCAAGUCAUCAUCUUGCAUUGACUAUGUCCCUGCCCUUUGUACACACCGCCCGUCGCUCCUACCGAUACCGGGUGAUCCGGUGAACCUUUUGGACUCCGUACGGGGAAAGAUAAGUAAACCAUAUCACCUAGAGGAAGGAGAAGUCGUAACAAGGUUUCCGUAGGUGAACCUGCRGAAGGAUCA
rnacentral:rRNA from 1 species